UUCAGAUUCAAUAGGUCUGGGUGGGACCUGAGAUUCUGCAUUUAUAACAAACUCCCAAGAGAUCUCAAUACUCAACAGGCCCGUGG
rnacentral:miRNA from 1 species